UGACCCAACACAUGACUAUCUUCCAGCAGUCCACAUGAUUCACAUACUAUUUAGUAGGAUAGUAUGCGGUAUCUGGACGUGGCCCGCGUACUCUCCCACAUGCGCCUCACCUGAUUGGUCGGCUUCUCAGAGUGCUUUAGCUCAUUGCUGUAAAAGGAGACAUUGCUGGCCCAGGAGGUUGUGCCCUAUUUGCCAUUGUUUGUUUGUGUGUCUAGGACUGCUGGUGUGUCUUACUGAUUUACACGAUUUAACCAUGUUUAUAUUAGUUUUCUUAAUACGAUUUGUUGUCCUUUGCCCUUUUCAAUAAAUGAAAUCAUUUUCAA